UUCAUUUACAAAUACAAAUCUAAUUGUUGGUUAGAAGACUAUAUCUGUAGCUCAUAAUCUGAAAGAUGUUGAUAUUCUAUUUGGUUGAUAUCACCUUCUAUUUGAACUUGGUGACUCCUUAACGAGAAAAAAAUUAGGAAUGAAGAUCUUGGCUGGAGUGCCAUUUAAGUUAAUUAUGUGGAUGAAAGGCUUCAGGAUUUCAAAAACAAAAGCUUUCAUGAUCUCUUUCAAUAGUCAAUAGAGAUGGAGACAGUCAUGGUGAGUGGCCUACAAGGGACAUCAAAUAUGUAUGGCGAAAAACCAUCUUUAAUCUUUUUGAUGGUUGGGUGGAAGCACUAGCAAGAAAAAGGAUGACAAGGUAGAGGUUUGAACUAGUACACUAAUCUUAUUUUAAUCAUUUCUUUGAGGCAGGAAAAGUUGUACUAAUGAUGUUGUUUGACUGGUAGCCCCACCUUGGAAUAGAUACAAAACGCAACAAUUCUCUGUUUUAUGUACUCAAGACACAAGUGAUAUGGGAUGUCCAUGUAUCAGUUUAGUUUGGAAUUUGAAAGUAUUUGAAGCCUGUAAACAUUCAAGUUGUGAGUCAAACUACAGAUUAACAUCAUUCCUGCAUUGUACAUGGUCAAGAAAUUAUAAUCAUUGUUUUGAAGCCAUCCCAGAUUGUCUGAUUUGUGGUGGCCUGCCUGGUGGGUGAUUCAAAUAUAAAUGUAUAUGCAUGUUCAAAGUUACUGUAUGCCACUAGCCCAAGUGGUUUGUGCUAUUCAUUUUGGAUGCUUAUUGUAAUAAAUUCAUUUAUUUAUUC